UGGGUGGUAGCUCAGUUGGGAGAGCGUCUGAGUAUUAAUCAGAAGGUCGAAGGUUCAAAUCCUUCCCACCCAG
rnacentral:tRNA from 1 species